rnacentral:rRNA from 1 species
GUGUCAGCCGCCGCGGUAAUACGGAGGGUGCGAGCGUUGUCCGGAAUCACUGGGCGUAAAGGGCGCGUAGGCGGUCUGCUAAGCGUGCGGUGAAAGCCUGGGGCUCAACCCCAGGUCUGCCGUGCGAACUGGUGGACUUGAGCACUGUAGAGGCAGGUGGAAUUCCGGGUGUAGCGGUGGAAUGCGUAGAGAUCCGGAAGAACACCGGUGGCGAAGGCGGCCUGCUGGGCAGUUGCUGACGCUGAGGCGCGACAGCGUGGGGAGCAAACAGGAUUAGAUACCCUAGUAGUCC